rnacentral:rRNA from 1 species
AUUGAACGCUGGCGGCAUGCCUUACACAUGCAAGUCGAACGGCAGCACGGGAGCAAUCCUGGUGGCGAGUGGCGAACGGGUGAGUAAUGUAUCGGAACGUGCCCAGUCGUGGGGAUAACGUAGCGAAAGCUACGCUAAUACCGCAUACGAUCUAUGGAUGAAAGCGGGGGAUCGCAAGACCUCGCGCGAUUGGAGCGGCCGAUAUCAGAUUAGGUAGUUGGUGAGGUAAAGGCUCACCAAGCCGACGAUCUGUAGCUGGUCUGAGAGGACGACCAGCCACACUGGGACUGAGACACGGCCCAGACUCCUACGGGAGGCAGCAGUGGGGAAUUUUGGACAAUGGGCGCAAGCCUGAUCCAGCAAUGCCGCGUGCAGGAUGAAGG